UCUGGUGUUGUAAACAUCCCCGACUGGAAGCUGUAAUACAUAUUCUAGCUUUCAGUAGGGUGUUUGCUACACCCGGC
rnacentral:miRNA from 1 species